UGGGGAAUUUUGCGCAAUGGGAGAAAGCCUGACGCAGCAACGCCGCGUGAGGGAUGAAGGCCUUCGGGUCGUAAAACUCUGUCAGAGGGGAAGAACAUCCUGUGGGAUAAUACCCCGGAGGCCUGACGGUACCCUCAAG
rnacentral:rRNA from 1 species